rnacentral:rRNA from 1 species
UUAAGGAUACAAUGGCACACGGUGGAUGCCUUGGCACUAUAUGGCGAAGAAGGACGUGGUUAACUGCGAUAAGCUUCGGCGAGCUGUAAGCUAGCUUAGACCCGGAGAUUUCCGAAUGGGGCAACCCAAUAUGGAUAAUUCCAUAUUAUCCCGAAAGGGAGGCAAACCCGCUGAACUGAAACAUCUAAGUAAGCGGAGGAAGAGAAAGUAAUAACGAUUCCCUGAGUAGCGGCGAGCGAACGGGGAAGAGCCUAAACCAGUCAUUAGAUUGGGGUAGUGGGACUUGCGAUGUAAGGUAUAUAAAGAUAGACGAACACAUCUGGGAAGUUGGAUCGUAGAAGGUGAAAAUCCUGUAGUCAAAAUUUUUAUAUAUUUUUAGCGAGUAUCCCGAGUAGGUCGGAACACGAGAAAUUCUGAUUGAAUCAGCGAGGACCAUCUCGUAAGGCUAAAUACAUAUAGUGACCGAUAGAGAAAUAGUACCGUGAGGGAAAGGUGAAAAGCACCCCGUGAGGGGAGUGAAAUAGAACCUGAAACCGUGUGCUUACCAUCAGUCGGAGCAGCAUUUAUUUGUUGUGACGGCGUGCCUUUUGCAUAAUGAGCCGGUGAGUUAAUGUUAUCAGCAGGUUAAGUGAUACAGUCAUGUAGCCGUAGCGAAAGCGAGUUUUAAUAGAGCGUAUUGUUGAUAGUAUUAGACCCGAAGCCUAGUGAUCUACCCAUGUCCAGGUUGAAGCCGCGGUAAAACGUGGUGGAGGACCGCACCAGGACACGUUGAAAAGUGUUUGGAUGAGGUGUGGGUAGGGGUGAAAGGCCAAUCAAACUAGGAGAUAUCUGGUUCUCUCCGAAAACUGUUUAGGCAGUGCCUCGUAUGAAGAUUUAUGGAGGUAGAGCACUGAAUGGGCUAGGGGGCAUACCAGCUUACUGAACCCAACCAAACUCCGAAUGCCAUAAGAUGUUUCGCAGGAGACAGCGUGCGUGGGAUAAGCUUCGUACGCGAGAGGGAAACAACCCAGACCGACGGCUAAGGUCCCUAAAUAUAUGCUUAGUGAGAAAGGAUGUGCAACUGCACAGACAGCCAGGAUGUUGGCUUAGAAGCAGCCACCAUUUAAAGAGUGCGUAAUAGCUCACUGGUCGAGUGGUAGUGCACCGAAGAUGAUCGGGACUUAAGUAUAUUACCGAAGCCGCGGAUAGUAGUUUACUACUAUGGUAGGAGAGCAUUCCAUUCAGCGAAGAAGAUGUAUCGUAAGGUAUGUUGGAGCGUAUGGAAGAGACCAUGCCGGCAUGAGUAGCGAUAAUGCAGGCGAGAAACCUGCACACCGCAAGCCUAAGGUUUCCUGAGUAAAGAUAAACUUCUCAGGGUAAGUCUGCCCCUAAGGCGAGUCAAGCGAGCUUGAGUAGCUGAUGGGAAUCCGGUUAAUAUUCCGGAACCUGCUUUAACUAGUGAUGGAGUGACGCAGAGGUGCAUCAGAGACUACUGUUGGAAAUGUAGUUGAAUACGUGUAGAUUAGUUGAUAGGCAAAUCCGUCGACUUUUAAUUCGAGGCGUAGGACGAGAAACCUAGUUUCAAAAGUCUGAUUAUAGACUCUGCCAAGAAAUAGCUUCUAAGCGUUUAACGUUAGAGUGGACAGUACCGCAAACCGACACAGGUAGGCGAGGAGAGUAUCCUAAGGUGUUCGAGAGAAUUCUGGUUAAGGAACUCGGCAAAAUGACUCCGUAACUUCGGGAGAAGGAGUGCCUCAUUUUGUGAGUUAACUAGCUUAAUAAGCGAAACGAGGUCGCAGUGAAGAGGCCCAAGCGACUGUUUAUCAAAAACACAGGUCUGUGCGAAGGGGCAACCCACAGUAUACAGACUGACACCUGCCCGGUGCUGGAAGGUUAAGUGGAAGAGUUAGCGUAAGCGAAGCUCCGAAAUGAAGCCCCAGUAAACGGCGGCCGUAACUAUAACGGUCCUAAGGUAGCGAAAUUCCUUGUCGGGUAAGUUCCGACCUGCACGAAUGGUGUAACGACUUGGGCACUGUCUCAACCAGGAACUCGGUGAAAUUGUAGUGGCGGUGAAGAUGCCGCCUACCCGCGAACGGACGGAAAGACCCCGUGAACCUUUACUGCAUCUUGACAUUGUAGUUUGGUAUAAUAUGUGUAGGAUAGGUGGGAGGCUAUGAACCCGGGACGCUAGUUUCGGAGGAGCCAUCGUUGAAAUACCACCCUUAUUGUAUUGAAUUACUAACGCGUGUUAGACGCAUGCGGACAUUGUCUGGAGGGCAGUUUGACUGGGGCGGUCGCCUCCUAAAAAGUAACGGAGGCUCACAAAGGUUCCCUCAGGCUGGUUGGUAAUCAGCCGUAGAGCGUAAAGGUAUAAGGGAGCUUAACUGCGAGACUGACGGGUCGAGCAGAUGCGAAAGCAGGUCUUAGUGAUCCGGCUACUCUGUAUGGAAGGGUAGUUGCUCAAAGGAUAAAAGGUACUCCGGGGAUAACAGGCUGAUACCGCCCAAGAGUUCACAUCGACGGCGGUGUUUGGCACCUCGAUGUCGGCUCAUCACAUCCUGGGGCUGAAGCAGGUCCCAAGGGUAUGGCUGUUCGCCAUUUAAAGUGGUACGCGAGCUGGGUUUAGAACGUCGUGAGACAGUUCGGUCCCUAUCUACCGUGGGCGUUGGAGACUUGAGGGAAGCUGUUCUUAGUACGAGAGGACCGGAAUGGACACACCUCUGGUGUUUCGGUUAUGACGCCAGUCGUAUUGCCGAGUAGCUAUGUGUGGAAAGGAUAACCGCUGAAAGCAUCUAAGCGGGAAGCCCCUCCCAAGAUUAGGUCUCCCUGACAGUUUAACUGUCCUAAAGAUCCCUCGGAGACUACGAGGUUGAUAGGCACGGUGUGGAAGAGUAGUGAUACUUGAAGCUAACGUGUACUAAUUGAUCGUGAGGCUUGACCAU